rfam:Cicer arietinum chromosome Ca7, whole genome shotgun sequence.
AGUCCGAUGCCACAUCUCUAGUAGCUAUAUGCUCUGACCAAAUAUGCUAUGGUUGAACUAAAAUCAAGAGUGCUUGUCAUUUGUUUCACAUUCUGAUUGGAACCUGUGGAUCCAAUAUACGAUGAUUUUGCAGUGCCGAUUUGUGCGAUUACAUUU